rnacentral:rRNA from 1 species
CCCUACGGGGGGCAGCAGUGAGGAAUAUUGGUCAAUGGGCGCAAGCCUGAACCAGCCAAGUCGCGUGAGGGAUGACGGUCCUAUGGAUUGUAAACCUCUUUUGUCGGGGAGCAAGGCCCGCCACGUGUGGCGGGAAGGAGAGUACCCGAAGAAAAAGCAUCGGCUAACUCCGUGCCAGCAGCCGCGGUAAUACGGAGGAUGCGAGCGUUAUCCGGAUUUAUUGGGUUUAAAGGGUGCGCAGGCGGAAGAUCAAGUCAGCGGUAAAAUUGAGAGGCUCAACAUCUUCGAGCCGUUUAAACUGGUUU